GUCCCUUUGGGGGCAUCCAAUGAAAUUGGAAUGAUACAACGAAGAUUAGCAUGGCCUGUACAAGAAUGAUGCGCGCAAAUUCAAGAAUUUCCAUGCGUUC